rnacentral:lncRNA from 1 species
UGAACACUAGCUAGGCUGGGCCGUAACAAUAAUAAUAUAAUUUUUUUAAUACACCAUUAAAUAAAAGUAAAAAGAUAGAUAUAAAAUUAAUAUUAGUUACUAUCAUAGAAUAAUGGACAUAACAAUCUCAUACAAAUUUAACAAAUUGAACAAAUUGAAGUGAAUCAGUGGUAUCAUAUUGCCGUCGAGAUAAAAUAUUCCUCAUCUCAUUAGACUAUACAUUGGUAGCCCAGUUUUUUAAAUGUAGGUUUUCUUUCUAGAGACAAUAAAAAAGCCAACCUGACAUUUUAUUUUUCUGUUCCAUUGUUAGUGUUAUUUUUAUACAAAUAUAUAUCAGCCAUCAAAAAAUAAAAUAUUUUGUCUCUGCAAUCGUCUAUAAAAUAUGAAUGUUGGAAAAUCUAUUUUCAAUGCAAUUAUUUUAUGAAAAACAAUAUAAUAAAAAUAAAAACUAACAAUUGAUCAAUUUACUUAUUAAAUUUCAUAAAUAUCUUGAAUAGUUUAAAGACAGAUUUAAAAGGACCGUCGGUUGUAAACGCACCAAUAACCCAGUUUUCACUUUUCAAUAGUAUGUUUUUUUGGUCUUUGUUCUUCCUUAAAAAAUAGACAAAUUUAUUUCUCAAAUACCGAUGAGACACCUUUUUCUUAAUGUAUCAUAAUUAUUUUUAUUUUGUAAUAUUCCAUAAAUCAUUUCUUUUAUCUCAUAUAAAUAAGCUAAAGUAUUUAUAAAACUUUUUAAAUAUUUUUUAAAUUGGUCCAAUUUUCUCUAUAAAACUCAAAAUUAAUAAAAUUUGCUUCAUAAUAUUUAUAAAUAAAUAUUCCACAUGUUUUCUCGUGUCAACAAUAUCUAGAUAAUAUUCUAAACCGGCUAUAAAAGAAUAAAAGAAUAAUUUUAAAAAAUUUUCGAAACUCAUACGUUGUUCAAAAAACCUAAUGCUGUUUACGUUAACUUCAAUCAAUUUUAUUUUUCGUCUUAUAUUUAUUUACAUCACAUUAAAAACCAAAAUAUCAUUAUUUUUUUAUAUUAAUUUUAAUUUUUUUUAUUUUUUUUAAUUCAUAUUUAUCCUAAAAUAAUAAUAUUAUAUUAAUAAAUUAAAUUAAAAACUAACUAUAAUAUAAUAUUAUAUUAACAUCAAUCAAUAAUUUAUAUUAAUAUAAUCAAUAUUACUUCAAAUACAAUUUAACUACGUAAAAGGAACAAAAGAGAAAAAAUUACCUCUGCACUGGAGAAACAGAACUAAGAAGGCGAGUACAACGGCGAAGCACACUGCAGAUGGAGCCGAGGCAACGAGUCAGGGACAAGCAGAGGCUGGAUCGACGCAGAUGAAGACUAGCACGGCGAAGCACACCGGGGCAGCACACAGACGAGCAGAGGAGCUGGAAACGAGACAGUGACCGUGACCGUGACCGUGGGGUGAGUUAGAAAGGUGAGGUCCUCUGCUUGUCUCAAACCAAAGAUGGUCUUCAUUGCUCCUUCCCCUUCUCCUGAAGUUACUGAUACAAUGACGUUGCCUGCAGGAUCCUGUACAAUCAAAGAUUUUUCCAAUUUUUGAAAAAUAGGCUAAACGAUGGCGUUUUGGAAAGAAUUAAGAAAAAAAACAAAAACAGUGCCAGAAAUUUAUAUUAUUAAAAAAAUCCCUGGAUUUCUAAAUUGAAAAAUUGAAUGGUGAGGGAAGAAGAAGGUGAAGGAAAGGGAGAGGUAGUGCCAUGGAAGACAAUGGUGACAAGGAGUAUGUAAUUGAUGAGUAAAAUGAAGAGCAGUUAAGGAAGAAGAAGUGUUGCUCACACCACUAAAAACUGGAAUAAAAAUAAGCGAAUAUUAUCCAAGAAUAAAAACCAAUAGCCCACUUUUUCAUCAGAUCUCCAGUUAUUAUCCAGUAUCACUUACAUAUCUAAGAAGAUUGAGACUUUGAUUUGGGAUGCAAAAACCUCUGUUAUUCCUACUACAAGUGACUUCGAGCACAAUCACACCAAAGACAAACACAUCCAAUUCAUAGCAAAAAAAUCAUAACAGAACCAAAACCUUAAACCAAGAAUCUCAACCAAGAAAAUAAUGAAUUCAGAAAUCAGAAUAAACACAAAAAAGAUAAAUAAAAUCAGAAUAAACCCUAAAAUCUAAUAAAAACAGAACAAAAUCAAAUAAACCAANNNNNNNNNNNNNNNNNNNNNNNNNNNNNNNNNNNNNNNNNNNNNNNNNNNNNNNNNNNNNNNNNNNNNNNNNNNNNNNNNNNNNNNNNNNNNNNNNNNNNNNNNNNNNNNNNNNNNNNNNNNNNNNNNNNNNACCCCCCCUUCCCCCAAAUAAAUGUUAUUACCAAUAAUCAUAACAAACUGAAAAUUAUCAUAACAAUCAGAAAAUCAAAACCACUAACCAAUAAUCAUAACGAAUAGAAAAAUCAUCAUGUCGAAACAUAAAAAAAUUAGAAGUCAGAACAGAAAAAAAAAGUUCAGAAAAAUCAGAUUAAACAAGAAAUCAGAACAAAAAUUGAACAAAUCAUACCUGAGGCUGAGAGACUGAGAACCAUGGAGCACAACUGAGAAUGAUGGAGAACCACGGCACUAAGGAUGAUGCAGCUGCUGAGAUCAACGGUGCUGAGAACGAAGACGCUGAGAGACGCGGCUUCUGGACGGCGUGAGGCAUCGACGGACGACGAGACGGAAACGGCUGUUGCUAGACGGCUGGACAGCGACGGAGAGAGGAGUGUGGGUGAGUAGAGACAGCAGUUUGUGUGUGAGCGAGANNN